UAACGCGAAGAACCUUACCUGGCCUUGACAUCCUAGGAAUCCCGAAGAGAUUUGGGAGUGCCGCAAGGAACCUGGAGACAGGUGCUGCAUGGCUGUCGUCAGCUCGUGUCGUGAGAUGUUGGGUUAAGUCCCGCAACGAGCGCAACCCUUGUCCUUAGUUGCCAGCAUUAAGUUGGGCACUCUAAGGAGACCGCCGGUGACAAACCGGAGGAAGGUGGGGAUGACGUCAAGUCAUCAUGGCCUUUAUGGCCAGGGCUACACACGUGCUACAAUGGCAGAUACAGAGGGAAGCCAACGCGCGAGCGGGAGCCAAUCCCAGAAAAUCUGUCGUAGUCCGGAUCGGAGUCUGCAACUCGACUCCGUGAAGUCGGAAUCGCUAGUAAUCGCAGAUCAGCAUUGCUGCGGUGAAUACGUUCCCGGGUCUUGUACACACCGA
rnacentral:rRNA from 1 species